AUUGAACGCUGGCGGCAGGCCUAACACAUGCAAGUCGAGCGGAUGAAGGGUGCUUGCUCCUGGAUUCAGCGGCGGACGGGUGAGUAAUGCCUAGGAAUCUGCCUGGUAGUGGGGGAUAACGUCCGGAAACGGGCGCUAAUACCGCAUACGUCCUGAGGGAGAAAGUGGGGGAUCUUCGGACCUCACGCUAUCAGAUGAGCCUAGGUCGGAUUAGCUAGUUGGUGGGGUAAAGGCCUACCAAGGCGACGAUCCGUAACUGGUCUGAGAGGAUGAUCAGUCACACUGGAACUGAGACACGGUCCAGACUCCUACGGGAGGCAGCAGUGGGAAAUAUUGGACAAUGGGCGAAAGCCUGAUCCAGCCAUGCCGCGUGUGUGAAGAAGGUCUUCGGAUUGUAAAGCACUUUAAGUUGGGAGGAAGGGCAGUAAGUUAAUACCUUGCUGUUUUGACGUCACCAACUGAAUAAGCACCGGCUAACUUCGUG
rnacentral:rRNA from 1 species